rnacentral:rRNA from 1 species
UACGUAGGGGCAAGCGUUAUCCGGAUUUACUGGGUGUAAAGGGAGCGCAGACGGCAGUGCAAGUCUGAUGUGAAAGCCCGGGGCUCAACCCCGGAACUGCAUUGGAAACUGUACAGCUUGAGUGUCGGAGAGGUAAGCGGAAUUCCUAGUGUAGCGGUGAAAUGCGUAGAUAUUAGGAGGAACACCAGUGGCGAAGGCGGCUUUCUGGACAGUAACUGACGCUGAGGCGCGAAAGCGUGGGGAGCAAACAGGAUUAGAUACCCCUGUAGU